GGGGCCGCACGCGCGCUACACUGAAGGAACCAGCGAGCGAUUUCCCCGUCCGGCAGGACCGGGCAACCCCGUGAGCCUCCUUCGUGAUAGGGACAGGGGCCUGUAACUGUUCCCCUCGAACGAGGAACUCCCAGUAAGCGCGAGUCACUAGCUCGCGCUGAUUAGGUCCCUGCCCUUUGUACACACCGCCCGUCGCUACUACCGAUUGAAUGAUUUAGUGAGGUCUUCGGACUGGCGCCCGGAGCGGACCCCGCGCCGGGCCGGCGCGCCGGAAAGAUGACCGAACUUGAUCAUUUAGAGGAAGUAAAAGUCGUAACAAGGUUUCC
rnacentral:rRNA from 1 species